rnacentral:rRNA from 1 species
UACGUAGGGGGCAAGCGUUGUCCGGAAUCAUUGGGCGUAAAGCGCGUGUAGGCGGUUCGAUAAGUCUGCUGUGAAAGUCCAGGGCUCAACCCUGGAAAGCCGGUGGAUACUGUCAGACUAGAGUGCGGAAGAGGCGAGUGGAAUUCCCGGUGUAGCGGUGAAAUGCGCAGAUAUCAGGAGGAACACCGAUGGCGAAGGCAGGUCUCUGGGCCACUACUGACGCUGGAGAAGCGAAAGCCAUGGGGAGCGAACAGG